rnacentral:ncRNA from 1 species
UUUCUUCAGGGCAUGGUGAAAAUCCAUACCGGCGGUAAAGCCCGCGAGCACACAGCACGAGGAGGGUCCUACGAAGUGGGAGGAGUCCUUGUGCCAUAUGUCGUAAGGAGGGACCCACGAAGUGGAGGAUUCCCUACGACUCAGCAUGAUCUGGUGAAAUUCCAGAGCCGACAGUACAGUCUGGAUGAGAGAAGAAG